rnacentral:rRNA from 1 species
GACGUAGGGCGCGAGCGUUGUCCGGAUUUAUUGGGCGUAAAGAGCUCGUAGGCGGUUUGUCGCGUCUGCUGUGAAACGCGAGGCUCAACCUCGCGCCUGCAGUGGGUACGGGCAGACUAGAGUGCGGUAGGGGAGAUUGGAAUUCCUGGUGUAGCGGUGGAAUGCGCAGAUAUCAGGAGGAACACCGAUGGCGAAGGCGGGUCUCUGGGCCGUAACUGACGCUGAGGAGCGAAAGCGUGGGGAGCGAACAGG